AACGAACGCUGGCGGCAGGCCUAACACAUGCAAGUCGAGCGCGCCUUCGGUUGAUCGGCGGACGGGUGAGUAACGCGUGGGAAUAUGCCCUUCUCUACGGAAUAGUCCUGGGAAACUGGGGGUAAUACCGUAUACGCCCUUUGGGGGAAAGAGUUAUCGGGGAAGGAUUAGCCCGCGUUGGAUUAGGUAGUUGGUGGGGUAAUGGCCUACCAAGCCGACUAUCCAUAGCUGGUUUGAGAGGAUGAUCAGCCAGACUGGGACUGAGACCCGUCCCCGACUGGUACGGGCGGCAGCAGUUGGGACUCUUAGAGAAUGAGCGUGACCCUGCUAUAGCGAUGGCGCGUGAGUGAUGAAGGCGUUAGGGUUGUCAAGCUCUUUCAGCUGGGAAGAUAAUGACGGUACCAGCAGAAGAAGCCCCGGCUAACUACGUG
rnacentral:rRNA from 1 species